ACUAAGAUGAGUAGAGUUUGUUUGUUUGUUUGUCUGUCUGUACACGUACGUAUUCCGUAUGUCCUCUAUAUAGCCGCACAUGCAUAGCAGUGCAAUAGAUUCUAAAUUUCAAUAUUUCAUUGAAAAUGGGAGUGGCCGAAAGAUAAUAAAAUGGCGAUCAGCACACGGGAAUCAGAAGUCAUGAUUUUCCUACUUCCUAGCAACAAGAUAAGGCAAAAACCCCGUCCAAAGACUUCUCCAACUGCUUGAAAAGGUUACAGAUUUCAAGACAGAACACUUGUGGUGAACUCAAAGUUAACAUAAUAAUAUUUCUAUGAUUUCUUUAUUAAUAAUGUAUUUUAUACAAAUGUAAUUACUUAUACCAUGUGCUUAUUCUUAGAGUUCUAGAACAUUCUGAUUUGUGUAGGUGCAUACUGCAUACACAUGUAUAUAUAUUCUACCCUUUCAUGUUUUUGUUCAGUUCUUCUUGUUCUUUUGUUUUUGUUCUGUUCUUGGUCCCUUCUGGCUCUGUUUCUUCUCUUUUUUAUUUUGUUUGUGUUUGGAGUGAUUGCCAACCGAUGUGCUAAUCAUUUUAUUUAUUCAGUGUAUUUAACACAUUCUCA